rnacentral:misc_RNA from 1 species
GGCGAAUGCCCUGUAUUUCUGCUAUUCUCUGUGAAUACCAGUGGGCAAUUUGUUGGUCUGGCUGAAAUGGUUGGUCAGGUCGAUUUUGAGAAGACUAUGGACUAUUGGCAGCAGGACAAGUGGUUUGGCUGCUUCCCGGUAAAAUGGCAUAUUGUGAAGGAUGUACCCAACAGCAUUCUGAAGCAUAUAACACUCGAGAACAAUGACAACAAGCCUGUAACAAACAGCAGAGACACCCAGGAGGUGAAGCUCGAACAAGGUCUUCAGGUACUAAAGAUUUUCAAGGAACAUGUCAGCAGGACAUCUAUUUUAGAUGAUUUUGGUUUCUACGAGGACCGCCAAAAGAUGAUGCAAGAGAAGAGGGUGAAACAACAACAGUUUCAGAAGCAGGCCAUGGAGGGAAAGGUUUCUGAGGCAACAAGUGUCAAGAAAGAAGGGGAUUUGGCUAUAGGGCAGAAACCCUCUGAGCCUGUCUCGGUCUCAGACACAGAUGCCAACCACAACAACAAUGGAGAUCAGAAGCCAUCAGAGGAGAGUGGCACAAGUGUGGUAUCCACUGGCGCUUCACCAGCAACAGAGAAACCUGCAGCUGCCAAUGGUGUUGCUAAUGUAUGUUAGGUAGAGAGCCCCUUGGCAUCGGCUACAGCUCGUGGAAAUAUACCCUGAAAUGGUUUGAUUAUAUUACCAUCAUCAAUCUUUGGUCCAGAGCCAAGGCUGCUAUCUUGGAGUGCGGCUGUUUAUUACAAGUAAAUUAUAAAAUAUGGAGCAUGGUUUCCCUGACAUGAGCUGGCCAUUAGUUUUAGAUGACUGACGGGUUUUUGGUGUCUUCUUAGUUUUGGCGUGGACCAUUUGGAUUAGUUUUUCUGUUUCAGUAUUUGCUCUUUUUUCUUGUGGCAGUAUGUAUAAAUUAUCCCUUGUUUGUAAGACUCGUGUGGACUAGAGCAUUGCAGCGGAGGGGAUUAAAUAGCUUGGAAUAGGCAAAAAUCAGGUUUGUUAAUGUGCAAUGGUUG